rnacentral:rRNA from 1 species
AUUGAACGCUGGCGGCAGGCCUAACACAUGCAAGUCGAGCGAGCGGCGGACGGGUGAGUAAUGUAUGGGGACUGCCCGAUAGAGGGGGAUAACUACUGGAAACGGUGGCUAAUACCGCAUACUAUCGGAUAACCCAUAUGGGAUUAGCUAGUAGGUGGGGUAAAGGCUCACCUAGGCGACGAUCUCUAGCUGGUCGGAGAGGAUGAUCAGACAAACUGGGACUGAGACACGGCCCAGACUGUUACGGAGGCAGCCGAGGGGAUUAUUGCACAGUGGGCUCAAGCCUGAUGAAGCCAUGUCGAGUGUAUGAAGAAGGCCUUAGGGUUGUAAAGUACUUUCAGCGGGGAGGCGUUACCCGCAGAAGGAGCACCGGAUAACUCCGGGCCAACAGCCGCGGUAAUUC